rnacentral:lncRNA from 1 species
AGACGGUGACUCGUGGGGACUUAUGGGCCAUUCCAAUGCCGUACGUUGCCACGUUGUCAAGCAGGAAGGAUUAGCACGAGAAGAGUGCGGGGCCCGCAGAAUGUGAUGGACGGGAUCGGUGGUGACCGAUGGCCGCGGCCCACCGGUUUGAUUUACUUUGGGUACGCGUUUUGUAUGUAUUGGUUGGAAAGGUGGGUCCACGUUCUGUGGUAAGUAAUACUGCAAUCAAACAACGGCACGAGUCAGGAGGACUCUUUUGGUUCGGUCCACGUUCUGUGGUAAGUAAUACUGCAAUCAAACAACGGCACGAGUCAGGAGGACUCUUUUGGUUUCUUUCUUCA